GGCUAGUUAGCUCAGUUGGUUAGAGCUUGGUGUUGCUAACACCAAGGUCAAGGGUUCGGAUUCCCAUACCAGCCA